UUUUUUUUAUGAAUGUUUAUUUUAAAUAGGCUAUUGUACAGAAUACUGCCCAACUGUGUUAAGACAAAGAAACAGUCCUCCUGCAUAUCUGACCACCUAGGAGAAACACAAAAGACAGAUAUAUACAUAUUAGGUGUUUAAAGCUGGCCUCCAUCAACCUUGACAUCACUGGAUAGGAUGGACAGAUUUAGUCUAAUUCAGUAUUACUUUGACCUGGGUUUACACUAUAAAGAAAUCCUUAAUGUUUUAAGUGUUAAACACGGAAUUACUAUCAGCAUGAAGACACUUAAAAAAAUCCUGAAUAAGAAUGGACUAUUUAGACGAAAACAUUUUGACAACUUAUUUAAUGUUAUUCAGUUUGUAAGGGAGGAGCUCCAAGGCUCAGGACAAUUGCAUGGAUAUAGAUGGAUGUAUAGUAAAUGUAAGGAAAGAGGAUUUCAUGUGCGCAAAGAAGACAUCCGCCUCAUUCUGUCAACUCUUGAUCCAUUGGGCACAGAAAUGCGAAGAAAAAGAAGACUGCACAGGAGAGCGUACUUUUCAAAAGGCCCCAAUUUUGUGUGGCUUGUGGACUCUUACGACAAAUUGAAGCUGUUUGGCAUAUGUAUCAAUGGGGCUAUUGAUGGAUUCUCAAGAAGAAUACUAUGGCUAAAUGCAUACUGCACAAGCAGUGACCCUAAAGUCAUAGGAGGUUACUUCCUUGAAACAGUAAGAACUCUUGGUGGCUCUCCUUGAAUGCUGAGAGCAGACAUGGGAACCGAAAAUAGUGUUAUUAGGGAUGUCCAAAGGUACUUGCGACGUGGUGAUGCUGAUCCACUUGCUGGAGAAAGAAGCUUUAUCUAUGGCAAAAGUACAGCCAACCAAAGAAUUGAGAGCUGGUGGGGAAUUCUUAGAAAAGAAUGUGUGGAUUUAUGGCUUAAAUAUUUCCACCAAAUUAAAGAUGAAGGCUAUUUUGAUGGCAGCUUUCUGGACAAGAACCUUGUGUUAUUCUGUUUCCUGGGUUUGAUCCAGGAAGAGCUGGAUUCGACCAAAGACACAUGGAACAGCCACCUGAUUCGUCCAUUAAGAAAUAGCCUUGUGCCCCAUGGUCGGCCGGAUGUCAUGUACACCCUUCCUGAAUUAUAUGAGACAGAAGACUACAUAAGC